AUUUUUGUCCAGUAAGGCUUUAUAAGGAGGAUUAAAGCGAUCGUGCAGUUGGAAUGGAGUCUUUUAUAGCAGCGUUUGUCCGUUGAUUUUGGAAUACCAGAGCUUUCUGAGAUUAGCCGCUAUGUAUUCUCCCCUGUCUGCUUCUGGAACUGUAAAUAAAUAUAAUAAAAGUAUAAAUGCAGGUUAGGUAACAGUGUUUAU